rnacentral:rRNA from 1 species
CUUUUGGAAGAAGUCGUCGAAGGUGGAAUCAAUAACUGGGGUGAAGUCGUAACAAGGUAGCCGUAUCGGAAGGUGCGGCUGGAUCACCUCCUUUCUAAGGAGAAUUGCCUACUGUUUAAUUUUGAAAGUUCUUUAUGAACUUCAUAUUUGGGGGUGUAGCUCAGUUGGGAGAGCACUUGCCUUGCAAGCAAGGGGUCAGGAGUUCGACUCUCCUCAUCUCCACCAUUUAAGAGCAUAUUACUUAAAUCUUUGAUUUAUCUAGUAGUCUCUUACAUUGCACUUUAAGCUUAUUUUUAUACAAGCUUGUGUGUUAGCACUUUAAGCAACGGAAUUUAUUCGUUGGCGCCGUGCGUUAGCACUUUGAAAACUGCAUAUAUAUAUUUAGUGAUAUGACAUCUAAUUUGUAAUAUAUAAAGCUGAUAACUUUUUAAAAUUAUCGAAGUUGAUAGCUUCUAAUCUAUCAAACCUUUUUAACUGGUCAAGUUAUUAAGGGUGCAGGGCGGAUGCCUUGGCACUAGGAGCCGAUGAAGGACGUGAUAAGCUGCGAUAAGCUUCGGGGAGUNAACUCAAAGGAAUUGACGGGGACCCGCACAAGUAGCGGAGCAUGUGGUUUAAUUCGAAGCAACGCGAAGAACCUUACCUAAGCUUGACAUCCCAAUGACAUCUCCUUAAUCGGAGAGUUCCCUUCGGGGACAUUGGUGACAGGUGGUGCAUGGUUGUCGUCAGCUCGUGUCGUGAGAUGUUGGGUUAAGUCCCGCAACGAGCGCAACCCUUGUCUUUAGUUGCCAUCAUUAAGUUGGGCACUCUAGAGAGACUGCCAGGGAUAACCUGGAGGAAGGUGGGGAUGACGUCAAAUCAUCAUGCCCCUUAUGCUUAGGGCUACACACGUGCUACAAUGGGUAGUACAGAGGGUUGCCAAGCCGUAAGGUGGAGCUAAUCCCUUAAAGCUACUCUCAGUUCGGAUUGUAGGCUGAAACUCGCCUACAUGAAGCUGGAGUUACUAGUAAUCGCAGAUCAGAAUGCUGCGGUGAAUGCGUUCCCGGGUCUUGUACACACCGCCCGUCACACCACGGGAGUUGGAGACGCCCGAAGCCGAUUAUCUAACCUUUUGGAAGAAGUCGUCGAAGGUGGAAUCAAUAACUGGGGUGAAGUCGUAACAAGGUAGCCGUAUCGGAAGGUGCGGCUG